CACGUAGGGCGCAAGCGUUGUCCGGAAUUAUUGGGCGUAAAGAGCUCGUAGGCGGUCUGUUGCGUCCGCUGUGAAAACUCGGGGCUUAACCCCGAGCCUGCAGUGGGUACGGGCAGACUAGAGUGCGGUAGGGGAGAUUGGAAUUCCUGGUGUAGCGGUGGAAUGCGCAGAUAUCAGGAGGAACACCGAUGGCGAAGGCAGAUCUCUGGGCCGUAACUGACGCUGAGGAGCGAAAGCAUGGGGAGCGAACAGG
rnacentral:rRNA from 1 species